AGGAAUAUUGGUCAAUGGGCGAGAGCCUGAACCAGCCAAGUAGCGUGAAGGAUGAAGGUCCUACGGAUUGUAAACUUCUUUUAUACGGGAAUAAAGUAUCCUACGUGUAGGAUUUUGUAUGUACCGUAUGAAUAAGCAUCGGCUAACUCCGUGCCAGCAGCCGCGGUAAUACGGAGGAUGCGAGCGUUAUCCGGAUUUAUUGGGUUUAAAGGGAGCGCAGACGGGAGAUUAAGUCAGUUGUGAAAGUUUGCGGCUCAACCGUAAAAUUGCAGUUGAUACUGGUUUCCUUGAGUGCAGUUGAGGCAGGCGGAAUUCGUGGUGUAGCGGUGAAAUGCUUAGAUAUCACGAAGAACCCCGAUUGCGAAGGCAGCUUGCUAAACUGUAACUGACGUUCAUGCUCGAAAGUGUGGGUAUCAAACAGGAUUAGAUACCCUGGUAGUCCACACGGUAAACGAUGGAUACUCGCUGUUGGCGAUAUACUGUCAGCGGCCAAGCGAAAGCAUUAAGUAUCCCACCUGGGGAGUACGCCGGCAACGGUGAAACUCAAAGGAAUUGACGGGGGCCCGCACAAGCGGAGGAACAUGUGGUUUAAUUCGAUGAUACGCGAGGAACCUUACCCGGGCUUAAAUUGCAGACGAAUUACGAGGAAACUUGUAAGCCGCAAGGCGUCUGUGAAGGUGCUGCAUGGUUGUCGUCAGCUCGUGCCGUGAGGUGUCGGCUUAAGUGCCAUAACGAGCGCAACCCUCGUGGUCAGUUACUAACAGGUUAAGCUGAGGACUCUGGCCAGACUGCCAUCGUAAGAUGUGAGGAAGGUGGGGAUGACGUCAAAUCAGCACGGCCCUUACGUCCGGGGCUACACACGUGUUACAAUGGGAGGUACAGAAGGCAGCUACCCGGCGACGGGAUGCCAAUCCCCAAAACCUCUCUCAGUUCGGACUGGAGUCUGCAACCCGACUCCACGAAGCUGGAUUCGCUAGUAAUCGCGCAUCAGCCACGGCGCGGUGAAUACGUUCCCG
rnacentral:rRNA from 1 species